CGAGCCGGCCGGGCGGCCGCGUGGGGGUCUUCGGACCCUCCCGAGGAACGUCCGGGCUCCACACGGCAGGGUGGUGGCUAACGGCCACCCGGGGUGACCCGCGGGACAGUGCCACAGAAAACAGACCGCCGGGGGCCGCGAGGCUUCCGGUAAGGGUGAAACGGUGGUGUAAGAGACCACCAGCCUCCGAGGCGACUCGGAGGGCUAGGUAAACCCCACCCGGAGCAAGGUCAAGAGGGGCCGUCAUCUCUUCGGAGACGGUGGCCCUGCGCGGACGUUCGAGGGCAGCCGGCCCGAGUCCGCGGGUAGACCGCAUGAGUCUGUCGGCAACGGCAGACCUAGAUGGAUGGCCGCCUCCCCGAGGGCCGCGAGGUCCCCGGGAGACAGAACCCGGCGUACAGGCCGACUCGUCCG
rnacentral:RNase_P_RNA from 1 species